UACGGGGGGGGCAAGCGUUGUUCGGAAUUACUGGGCGUAAAGGGCUCGUAGGCGGCCGACUAAGUCGGACGUGAAAUCCCUCAGCUUAACUGGGGAACUGCGUCCGAUACUGGAUGGCUUGAGUUUGGGAGAGGGAUGCGGAAUUCCAGGUGUAGCGGUGAAAUGCGUAGAUAUCUGGAGGAACACCGGUGGCGAAGGCGGCAUCCUGGACCAACACUGACACUGAGGAGCGAAAGCCAGGGGAGCAAACGGG
rnacentral:rRNA from 1 species